rnacentral:rRNA from 1 species
UGCCAGCCGCCGCGGUAAUACGGAGGGCGCAAGCGUUAUUCGGAAUUACUGGGCGUAAAGCGCGCGUAGGCGGCUAGGUAAGUCAGGUGUGAAAGUCCUCGGCUCAACCGGGGGAUGGCACUUGAAACUGCGUAGCUAGAGUUCAGGAGAGGGUGGCGGAAUUCCCGGUGUAGGAGUGAAAUCCGUAGAUAUCGGGAGGAACACCAGAGGCGAAGGCGGCCACCUGGCCGGAAACUGACGCUGAGGCGCGAAAGCGUGGGUAGCAAACAGGAUUAGAUACCCUUGUAGUCC